rnacentral:rRNA from 1 species
UACGGAGGGUGCAAGCGUUAUCCGGAUUCACUGGGUUUAAAGGGUGCGUAGGUGCUUUUGUAAGUCAGUGGUGAAAGCCCGGAGCUCAACUCCGGAACUGCCAUUGAUACUGCUUAACUUGAAUCAACUUGAGGUGGAUGGAAUAUUACAUGUAGCGGUGAAAUGCUUAGAUAUGUAAUAGAACACCGAUUGCGAAGGCAGUUCACUAAGGUUGUAUUGACACUGAGGCACGAAAGCGUGGGGAUCAAACAGG